rnacentral:rRNA from 1 species
ACGGGAGGCAGCAGUGGGGAAUAUUGCACAAUGGGAGAAAUCCUGAUGCAGCGACGCCGCGUGAGUGAAGAAGUAUUUCGGUAUGUAAAGCUCUAUCAGCAGGGAAGAAAAUGACGGUACCUGACUAAGAAGCCCCGGCUAACUACGUGCCAGCAGCCGCGGUAAUACGUAGGGGGCAAGCGUUAUCCGGAUUUACUGGGUGUAUAGGGAGCGUAGACGGCUGUGCAAGUCUGAAGUGAAAGCCCCGGGCUCAACUCGGGAACUGCUUUGGAAACUGUGCAGCUAGAGUGCAGGAGAGGUAAGUGGAAUUCCUAGUGUAGCGGUGAAAUGCUUAGAUAUUAGGAGGAACACCAGUGGCGAAGGCGGCUUACUGGACUGUAACUGACGUUGAGGCUCGAAAGCGUGGGGAGCAAACAGGAUUAGAUACCCUGGUA